AACGCACAUUGCGCCCCCUGGUAUUCCGGGGGGCAUGCCUGUCCGAGCGUCAUUACUGCCCUCAAGCGCGGCUUGUGUGUUGGGCCUCGUCCCCCCGGGGACGUGCCCGAAAGGCAGUGGCGGCGCCGUGUCCGGUCCUCGAGCUUAUGGGGCUUUGUCACCCGCUCUGGAGGCCCGGCCGGCAGCCGCCGACCCAACCCCAAAUUUUUUACCGGUUGACCUCGGAUCAGGCAGGGAUACCCGCUGAACUUAA
rnacentral:misc_RNA from 1 species